rnacentral:misc_RNA from 1 species
AUGAAAUUGAGUUGAAUUUUGGUUUCCUUGUGGUUUUCAAUGAUGGGAUAGGAAAAGAAUUUUGGUAUAGAGUAAAAAAGGGUUACUAAAGCUUUUGAGCCAAAAUUGUUAUGAUAGGUGGCUAUAGCUGAGAUUGAUGAUGGAGGAUGCAUGUAGUUGAAGCUAUAUUCUCUAGUCAUGAGACUUGGAGAAGUUGUAAAUUGUUGAGAAUUACAAGCAUAGGAGUGUGUAAAUCAUCAAACUGGCAGGCUAUACACUGAAAUUGGACUCCCCAUCACCAA